AUGCUCUUUAUUAUUUAUUAAAUACCAUAGUGUGUGCUUAGCACUUGUACAAACACAGAGAGAGACAAUCCCUGCUUCACAAAAUCAACCCCAGGAAUAGCUUUGAAAUCCUCAAUCCCAGCUCACAGAUCUCCCACCGAAUCCAUGUAGGUCACUUGCAUUUUAACAGUUAAAAAAAUUCCCCUUUUUACGACUAAGCUUGGGGUCCUAAGAAAUUUAACUGAUGGAGGCUGGAUGCUACAAAGGACUUCAGAAUUGGGAACACUCUCCAAAAUGAUGCUGAAUAGCUUGAGUCGCACUUUCAGAAGGAUAUCAUAACCAGAUUUUUCAAAUCUGGCUGCCAAAUGUUAGACAUACCUAAGCAGCUCAUUAAACUGCCUCCUUUUCAGAAGUUUCUCUUGAAGAACACUGGCUCUCUGAAAAGAUCAGUUAUCUGUUUAAAGGCCUAAAAACGAAUUUACAAGAUAAGCUUUCAAGUUUAAAUACGCUGACUUUUCUCACUAAAAUUUUCCCUGCAGAGAGAUGUCAGUCCAGGGUUAAACUGAGAGGCUGUCAAAGCAGGAGUGUGUGUAAGAACACUGAGAAUUUUUGUGCUCUGUAGCAAAACAAUUUUAGUUGCGCACAAGAUCCGGUGCUGGCACACUUUGCUACCGAAGCCUUCCCAGGUAACAUCUCCACGCCAAAAAACGCUUCCCGAUAAGAGGAAGAACGCGGGCCCCGCAGGGCGUCUCGGUCAAACGCGCCGGAGUUCGGAGAUACACAAAGAGAUGUGCAUGCACAUGAAAACACAGAGCCCAUCUGCUAGAAUAGACUUGAUGGUUUCACAGAAAUGAGACACAGAGAAGAGGAAUUAUUUGUGGAAUGCAUCAUCAGCCAAGUCUCAACACACACACUGGAAAGAAUUGGCGUAGGCUCACCUGGUUUUGCAUGCAGAGGAGUCUUGAAGUGUAGGAGUUUGGACUGGUUUUUCUUUUUAAUUCUUUUCAUUAAUGCUACAAAACAACAGAUGCAAAUUUCCCAUUGCCUGCUUGCUUUUCACAUUUCUCAAAGUCAGAAUAACUAG
rnacentral:lncRNA from 1 species